rnacentral:rRNA from 1 species
AUUGAACGCUGGCGGAAUGCUUUACACAUGCAAGUCGAACGGUAGAGGGGGCAACCCCUCGAGAGUGGCGAACGGGUGAGUAAUAUAUCGGAACGUGCCCAGUCGUGGGGGAUAACGUAGCGAAAGUUACGCUAAUACCGCAUACGAUCUAAGGAUGAAAGCGGGGGAUCGCAAGACCUCGCGCGAUUGGAGCGGCCGAUAUCAGAUUAGGUAGUUGGUGGGGUAAAGGCCCACCAAGCCAACGAUCUGUAGCUGGUCUGAGAGGACGACCAGCCACACUGGAACUGAGACACGGUCCAGACUCCUACGGGAGGCAGCAGUGGGGAAUUUUGGACAAUGGGCGAAAGCCUGAUCCAGCCAUUCCGCGUGCAGGAUGAAGGCCCUCGGGUUGUAAACUGCUUUUGUACAGUACGAAAAGGUUUCUACUAAUACUAGGAGCUCAUGACGGUACUGUAAGAAUAAGCACCGGCUAACUACGUGCCAGCAGCCGCGGUAA